GAUGAAGAACGUAGUUAAAUGCGAUACGUAAUGUGAAUUGCAGAAUUCAGUGAAUCAUCGAGUCUUUGAACGCACAUUGCGCCCCCUGGUAUUCCGGGGGGCAUGCCUGUCCGAGCGUCAUUGCUGCCCUCAAGCACGGCUUGUGUGUUGGGCCUCCGCCCCCCGGCUCCCGGGGGGCGGGCCCGAAAGGCAGCGGCGGCACCGCGUCCGGUCCUCGAGCGUAUGGGGCUUCGUCACCCGCUCCGUAGGCCCGGCCGGCGCCCGCCGGCGACCCCCCUCAAUCUUUCCAGGUUGACCUCGGAUCAGGUAGGGAUACCCGCUGAACUUAAGCAUAUCAAUAAGCGGAGGA
rnacentral:misc_RNA from 1 species